GACGAACGCUGGCGGCGUGCUUAACACAUGCAAGUCGAACGGAAAGGCCCUGCUUUUGUGGGGUGCUCGAGUGGCGAACGGGUGAGUAACACGUGAGUAACCUGCCCUUGACUUUGGGAUAACUUCAGGAAACUGGGGCUAAUACCGGAUAGGAGCUCCUGCUGCAUGGUGGGGGUUGGAAAGUUUCGGCGGUUGGGGAUGGACUCGCGGCUUAUCAGCUUGUUGGUGGGGUAGUGGCUGACCAAGGCGUUGACGGGUAGCCGGCCUGAGAGGGUGACCGGCCACAUUGGGACUGAGAUACGGCCCAGACUGCUACGGGAGGCAGCAGUGGGGAAUAUUGCACAAUGGGCGGAAGCCUGAUGCAGCAGCGCCGCGGGCGGGAUGACGGCCUUCGGGUUGUAAACAGCUUUCGGCUGUGACGAAGCGUGAGUGACGGUAAUGGGUAAAGAAGCACCGGCUAACUACGUG
rnacentral:rRNA from 1 species